rnacentral:rRNA from 1 species
AGCAGCCGCGGUAAUUCCAGCUCCAAUAGCGUAUAUUAAAGUUGUUGCAGUUAAAAAGCUCGUAGUUGAAUUUCGGGGUUAGUAGGUUGGUCAUGCCUCUGGUAUGUACUGGUCUCACUGAUUCCUCCUUCCUGAUGAACCUUAAUGCCAUUUAUUUGGUGUUUUGGGGAAUUUGGACUGUUACUUUGAAAAAAUUAGAGUGUUUAAAGCAAGCUAACGCUUGAAUACAUUAACAUGGAAUAAUGAAAUAGGACGUUCGAUCCUAUUUUGUUGGUUUCUAGGAUUGACGUAAUGAUUAAUAGGGAUAGUUGGGGGCAUUAGUAUUCAAUUGUCAGAGGUGAAAUUCUUGGAUUUAUUGAAGACUAACUACUGCGAAAGCAUUUGCCAAGGAUGUUUUCAUUAAUCAAGAACGAAAGUUAGGGGAUCGAAGACGAUCAGAUACCGUCGUAGUCUUAACCAUAAACUAUGCCGACUAGGGAUCGGAUGAUGUUAAUUUUUUAAUGACUCAUUCGGCGCCUUA